GUUUGAAUUGUGCUGGCUCUGCCCCUGAUCUUUGUCAGUCUCAGACAAUCCUAUGGGGAAGCAAGAAGAAUAUGAAGCACAGGAGAUCAUUGACUCCCAUAUGUCAUGUGGAUCCCUUCAGUAUUUGGGGCAUUUGGUUACAGGCCUGAGGAAUAAUCCUAUAUGUACACACACCCAGGCUCUCUUUAUGCAAGGUACCUUUCUCGUCCUGGUGGUGCCUGC